AUUGAACGCUGGCGGCAUGCUUUACACAUGCAAGUCGAACGGUAACAGGGAGCUUGCUCCGCUGACGAGUGGCGAACGGGCGAGUAAUGCGUCGGAACGUGCCGAGUAGUGGGGGAUAACGCAUCGAAAGGUGUGCUAAUACCGCAUACGUACUGAGGUAGAAAGUGGGGGACCUUCGGGCCUCACGCUAUUCGAGCGGCCGACGUCUGAUUAGCUAGUUGGCGAGGUAAAGGCUCACCAAGGCGACGAUCAGUAGCGGGUCUGAGAGGAUGAUCCGCCACACUGGGACUGAGACACGGCCCAGACUCCUACGGGAGGCAGCAGUGGGGAAUUUUGGACAAUGAGCGCAAGCCUGAUCCAGCCAUGCCGCGUGUCUGAAGAAGGCCUUCGGGUUGUAAAGGACUUUUGUCCGGGAGCAAAUGCCUGUGUUAAUAGCAUCGGGAGCUGAGAGUACCGGAAGAAUAAGCACCGGCUAACUACGUGCCAGCAGCCGCCGUAAAAC
rnacentral:rRNA from 1 species